CCUACGGGUGGCAGCAGUGGGGAAUAUUUGAAAAUGGGGGGAACCCUGAUCCAGCGACGCCGCGGGAGUGAAGAAGUAUUUCGGUAUGGAACGCUCUAUCAGCAGGGAAGAAAGAAAUGACGGUAGCUGACUAAGAAGCCCCGGCUAACUACGUGCCAGCAGCCGCGGUAAUACGUAGGGGGCAAGCGUUAUCCGGAUUUACUGGGUGUAAAGGGAGCGGAGACGGUAACGCAAGUCUGGAGUGAAAGGCGGGGGCCCAACCCCCGGACUGCUUUGGAAACUGUAUAACUGGAGUGCAGGAGAGGUAAGUGGAAUUCCUAGUGUAGCGGUGAAAUGCGUAGAUAUUAGGAGGAACACCAGUGGCGAAGGCGGCUUACUGGACUGUAACUGACGUUGAGGCUCGAAAGCGUGGGGAGCAAACAGGAUUAGAUACCCUUGUAGUC
rnacentral:rRNA from 1 species